rnacentral:rRNA from 1 species
UACAGAGGGUGCAAGCGUUAAUCGGAAUUACUGGGCGUAAAGCGUGCGUAGACGGUUAUGUAAGUCAGAUGUGAAAGCCCCGGGCUCAACCUGGGAAUUGCAUUUGAGACUGCAUAGCUAGGGUGCGGAAGAGGGAAGCGGAAUUUCCGGUGUAGCGGUGAAAUGCGUAGAUAUCGGGAGGAACACCGGUGGCGAAGGCGGCUUGCUGGGCCUUACCUGACGCUGAGGAGCGAAAGCGUGGGGAGCGAACAGG